GGGGCAGUAGCUCAGUUGGGAGAGCGUCUCUAUGGCAUGGAGGAGGUCGCGGGUUAGAAUCCCGUCUGCUCCACCA
rnacentral:tRNA from 1 species